UUUCUUUCUUGUUUCUUCUUCUCUUUCAUUCAUCUCUUUCUUUCUUCUUCUUCUUUGUUCCUCUUCUCUUUCUCUCUGUCGAUCUCAGAGUUAUUUUUGUGUGAGAUGUUCAUAAAUAGUUAGUUAGCUUGUCGAAUCGAAGAGAGUGAAGUUAGAACUAGAUUUGCUUGAGCUCCAGGAGCAGAAGAAGAUGGUGUAGAUGUUGAUUUGAGGUUAGGAUUUCUGGAAUUAGGGUUCUUGUAGAACUGAUGAUGACAAAGUGACGUUCUGGGAUGAAGAUUCGAGGGGUGGUUGUUGGAUUGAUUAGGUGAUGUUGUUCUAAUGAUGAAUCAACCGGAAGAAGGAUUGCUUAAUUUGAAUUGCAAUUGAAGAUAAUGUGCAAAAGAAUGGGAUGGAGUUUAGUUGAUGGUGGUUUUGGAAGGUCAGUUUACGGGGAACUGAAAUAUGUAUGAAGUAUGUUGGUGAUGAAUUAGUGGUUGUGGUGAUGCUGCUCAGUUGGUUGUGGUGAUGUUGUUUUGAUUACUUAUGUUGACAUGAGUUGUGGAUGUAGCUGUUAGUGCUGAUGAAGAGGUUUGUAGAUGUAAAGAAUUGAACUGAGUUGAAUUGGUGGUGAGGAUGACAUGGUCAUGGAACUGGAUUGGAACACAGUUAAUUGGUUGAUGAUGAUGUGAAUGAAGGUGGUUGUGUGUUGAUCAAGAUAAGAUGUUGAAUCACAGAUGUGGAAGGUGAGUUAAAUGGUGGUGGUUUGAGAGUUGUUUGUGGAUGAGCUGAAAUGCAAGUUGGAAUGACUCAAGACAAGUUUUAAGGCUCAAGUUAUUAGACUUAAUCAUAUCAUAGAUAGUGAAGUUGUGAAACUGGAUUUAGUUGUAAUGCCGAGAAUAGUGAUUAUAGUGAUGUAGGUAGUGAUUCUGUUGUGUUGCUAGUUAGAGAUAGAGGUCUUGCAGAUGAGAAUGUUUGUAUAGUUGCAUUGGUAGAUGUUGUAGUGGUGGGUUAGGUUUGUAAUUGAGUUUCAGGGUUUUAGUAUUUGCUAUUGUAUUGCAUCUUUGUUUGGGUAA